CUGGGUUCAGAACGUCGUGAGACAGUUCGGUCCCUAUCCGUCGUGGGCGUAGGAAAUUUGAGAGGAGCUGUCCUUAGUACGAGAGGACCGGGAUGGACAUACCUCUGGUGUACCAGUUGUCGUGCCAACGGCAUAGCUGGGUAGCUAUGUAUGGACGGGAUAAGUGCUGAAAGCAUCUAAGCAUGAAGCCCCCCUCAAGAUGAGAUUUCCCAACUUCGGUUAUAAGAUCCCUCGAAGAUGACGAGGUUAAUAGGUUCGAGGUGGAAGCGUGGUGACACGUGGAGCUGACGAAUACUAAUCGAUCGAAGACUUAAUCAA
rnacentral:rRNA from 1 species